rnacentral:tRNA from 1 species
GGGUGAUUAGCUCAGUGGUAGAGCAUCUCGUUUACACCGAGAGGGUCGGCGGUUCGAACCCGUCAUCACCCACCA